rnacentral:lncRNA from 1 species
UGAUUGUGAAGAUGAGUCAGAGUCUGAAAAUGAUUCUGAGAGUGAGUCAGAAUCAAAAUGCGAGAUUGAUUCUGAGGAAGAAUCUGAUUCUGAUCUAGAUUCUGAUGGUGAUUCAGAUUCUGGUGAUCUAGAUUCUGAUGGUGAUUCAGAUUCUGGUGAUCCAGAUUUUGAUGGUGAUUCAGAUUUUGGUGUUAGUCCAAAUUCUAGAAAUA